UACACUCCUACGGGAGGCAGCAGUGGGGAAUAUUGCACAAUGGGCGCAAGCCUGAUGCAGCCAUGCCGCGUGUAUGAAGAAGGCCUUCGGGUUGUAAAGUACUUUCAGCGGGGAGGAAGGCGAUAAGGUUAAUAACCUUGUUGAUUGACGUUACCCGCAGAAGAAGCACCGGCUAACUCCGUGCCAGCAGCCGCGGUAAUACGGAGGGUGCAAGCGUUAAUCGGAAUUACUGGGCGUAAAGCGCACGCAGGCGGUCUGUCAAGUCGGAUGUGAAAUCCCCGGGCUCAACCUGGGAACUGCAUUCGAAACUGGCAGGCUAGAGUCUUGUAGAGGGGGGUAGAAUUCCAGGUGUAGCGGUGAAAUGCGUAGAGAUCUGGAGGAAUACCGGUGGCGAAGGCGGCCCCCUGGACAAAGACUGACGCUCAGGUGCGAAAGCGUGGGGAGCAAACAGGAUUAGAAACCCGUGUAGUCCCAUG
rnacentral:rRNA from 1 species